rnacentral:rRNA from 1 species
AUGGAGGCGUGGCUGCGCGUAGAGGCGCACGGUGGCGUCAGACGGAGGCGUUCACGACGACGGUCGACGACGAGCCGUGUCAAGAUUAAGAGGGAAAUUAUUGGCUCUAAUCUUGACGUGUGCGCUCGUGGCCGGAUCGUGCAGAGCUGGCCUGAUGUGGACGUUGGAGGUCGCGCAAAUGCUGGUCGUGGGCAUCGUCACGGUGAUGGUAUGUGUCGAGCCGAGGGGGAGGGGCCUAAGGAAGAUGUAGUCUUCGCCGGGACCGUGGUAUGCGCCCGGUCGAUGUGA